rnacentral:lncRNA from 1 species
AAAAGACGCAUCUUUUUUUUGAAAUGCAGUUUCCUUACGCCGCCCCACCUCCCCAAGAACCCGUGAAGACUCUGAGAAGCCUGGUCAAUAUCCGAAAGGACACACUGAGGCUCGUCAAUUUCUGCUGGUUCCCCAGCUAUGCUUCUCUCCACCCCAGGGUCAACUCUGGGGAGGAGAGAUUCAAGGAGGUACCUGUCUGCUGCAGAACAGUCCCCCGACCUGACCCAG